UUGAAUAGAUGUACGUGGAUACUGGUAGC
rnacentral:piRNA from 2 species